rnacentral:rRNA from 1 species
UCAGGCCUAACACAUGCAAGUCGAGCGGUAACAGAGGAGCUUGCUCCUGCUGACGAGCGGCGGACGGGUGAGUAACGCGUGGGAAUCUGCCUAUUGGUGGGGGAUAGCCCGGAGAAAUCCGGAUUAAUACCGCAUAGUACCUAAGGGUUAAAGCAGGGGAUCUUCGGACCUUGCGCCAGUAGAUGAGCCCGCGUCAGAUUAGUUUGUUGGUGAGGUAAUGGCUCACCAAGACUGCGAUCUGUAGCUGGCCUGAGAGGGUGGUCAGUCACACUGGAACUGAGACACGGUCCAGACUCCUACGGGAGGCAGCAGUGGGGAAUAUUGGGCAAUGGGCGCAAGCCUGACCCAGCCAUGCCGCGUGUGUGAAGAAGGCUUUCGGGUUGUAAAGCACUUUAAGUUGGGAGGAAGGUGCGACGGUUAAUACCCGUUGUAAUUGACGUUACCAACAGAAUAAGCACCGGCUAAUUCCGUGCCAGCAGCCGCGGUAAUACGGAAGGUGCAAGCGUUAAUCGGAAUUACUGGGCGUAAAGCGCACGUAGGCGGUUUGCUAAGUCAGAUGUGAAAGCCCAGGGCUUAACCUUGGAACUGCAUCUGAUACUGGCAGGCUAGAGUACAGUAGAGGGAGGUGGAAUUUCAGGUGUAGCGGUGAAAUGCGUAGAGAUCUGAAGGAACACCAGUGGCGAAGGCGGCCUCCUGGACU